GCUGGCCGGUCCGCCUCACCGCGAGUACUGGUCCGGCUGGACCUUUCCUUCUGGGGAACCUCAUGGCCUUCACUGGCUGUGGGGGGAACCAGGACUUUUACUGUGAAAAAAUUAGAGUGUUCAAAGCAGGCCUUUGCUCGAAUACAUUAGCAUGGAAUAAUAGAAUAGGACGUGCGGUUCUAUUUUGUUGGUUUCUAGGACCGCCGUAAUGAUUAAUAGGGAUAGUCGGGGGCGUCAGUAUUCAGCUGUCAGAGGUGAAAUUCUUGGAUUUGCUGAAGACUAACUACUGCGAAAGCAUUCGCCAAGGAUGUUUUCAUUAAUCAGGGAACGAAAGUUAGGGGAUCGAAGACGAUCAGAUACCGUCGUAGUCUUAACCAUAAACUAUGCCGACUAGGGAUCGGGCGGUGUUUCUAUGAUGACCCGCUCGGCACCUUACGAGAAAUCAAAGUUUUUGGGUUCUGGGGGGAGUAUGGUCGCAAGGCUGAAACUUAAAGAAAUUGACGGAAGGGCACCACAAGGCGUGGAGCCUGCGGCUUAAUUUGC
rnacentral:rRNA from 1 species